rnacentral:rRNA from 1 species
GAUGAACGCUGGCGGCGUGCCUAAUACAUGCAAGUCGAGCGAACAGACGAGGAGCUUGCUCCUCUGACGAUAGCGGCGGACGGGUGAGUAACACGUGGAUAACCUACCUAUAAGACUGGGAUAACUUCGGGAAACCGGAGCUAAUACCGGAUAAUAUAUUGAACCGCAUGGUUCAAUAGUGAAAGACGGUUUUGCUGUCACUUAUAGAUGGAUCCGCGCCGCAUUAGCUAGUUGGUAAGGUAACGGCUUACCAAGGCAACGAUGCGUAGCCGGCCUGAGAGGGUGAUCAGCCACACUGGAACUGAGACACGGUCCAGACUCCUACGGGAGGCAGCAGUAGGGAAUCUUCCGCAAUGGGCGAAAGCCUGACGGAGCAACGCCGCGUGAGUGAUGAAGGUCUUCGGAUCGUAAAACGCUGUUAUUAGGAAAGAACAAAUGUGUAAGUAACUAGGCACGUCUUGACGGUACCUAAUCAGAAAGCCACGGCUAACUACGUG